UUUACAGGCCACAUUGGUGCUGCCUUUAAAGGUGAACCUGCAUGAACAUACCACACAUCCAUGGGAGGCAGUGCAUGGAAGGCAGUGCAUUGGAGGCAGUGCAUUGGCUUGGUUUCAAGUGUUUUAUUUGAAGGCAGUCAACAGACUGAAUCCAACAGAGUCAGGAAAAGCAGAGCAACAUCUCACAGAUACGUCCUUUUUUAAUCCACUUCUGUCAUCAGAGAGUACAUUCCAUACAAGAACACAGUUCUGGACAGAGAAGCAGAAGUGGCAACAUCAGCCGGUUUGGUCCGGUUCUAAUCACUUCUUACGACAAACAAAGUGAAGGUAUAUAAAGUCUGUGUUUCCAUCUCUGAGACAUCCUGUGACCAGAAACUGCUGCUGGAACAGACUCUUCAACUAACCAUCAGAACAAGAUGGCUGCCGGUCUUCUCUUCUCUCUGCUUCUUGGUCUGACCUUUGGACUCUGGGAUGGA